GUUUUAUUGUACUGGGUACUGGAGGGAUUUGAAAUCCUUUACAAAAGUGUUCGAUUCACUUAUAGAACU
rnacentral:tRNA from 1 species